rnacentral:rRNA from 1 species
UACGUAGGGAGCAAGCGUUGUCCGGAAUCAUUGGGCGUAAAGCGCGCGUAGGCGGCCCUGUAAGUCCGUUGUGAAAGUCAAAGGCUCAACCUUUGAAAGCCGAUGGAUACUGCAGGGCUAGAGUCCGGAAGAGGCGAGUGGAAUUCCUGGUGUAGCGGUGAAAUGCGCAGGAUAUCAGGAAGAACACCCGUGGCGAAGGCGGUUCUCUGGGACGGUACUGACGCUGAGACGCGAAAGCGUGGGGAGCGAACAGG